rnacentral:rRNA from 3 species
CCGUUGGGGAUCUUGAAUCCUUAGUGGCGCAGCUAACGCACUAAGUUGACCGCUGGGGAGUACGGCCGCAAGGUUAAAACUCAAAUGAAUUGACGGGGGCCCGCACAAGCGGUGGAGCAUGUGGUUUAAUUCGACGCAACGCGAAGAACCUUACCUGGCCUUGACAUGCAGAGAACGUUCCAGAGAUGGAUCGGUGCCUUCGGGAACUCUGACACAGGUGCUGCAUGGCCGUCGUCAGCUCGUGUCGUGAGAUGUUGGGUUAAGUCCCGUAACGAGCGCAACCCCUAUCCCUAGUUGCUAGCAGGUAAUGCUGAGAACUCUAGGGAGACUGCCGGUGACAAACCGGAGGAAGGUGGGGAUGACGUCAGGUCAUCAUGGCCCUUACGGCCAGGGCUACACACGUGCUACAAUGGCGCGCACAGAGGGCUGCAAACCCGCGAGGGGGAGCCAAUCUCACAAAACGCGUCGUAGUCCGGAUCGGAGUCUGCAACUCGACUCCGUGAAGUCGGAAUCGCUAGUAAUCGUGAAUCAGAAUGUCACGGUGAAUACGUUCCCGGGCCUUGUACACACCGCCCGUCACACCAUGGGAGUGGAUUGCACCAGAAGUAGUUAGUCUAACCUUCGGGAGGACGAUUACCACGGUGUGGUUCAUGACUGGGGUGAAGUCGUAACAAGGUAGCCGUAAGCUUGGAUCCCGGG